AAGAAAUGCAGAAGGACGCUAUGCAUAGACAUAGUCAGCUGAAUCAUGUAUCUACAAAACACUCGUCUACAUAAUCUCUUUUAAUUUACAUACAUAAAAGGAGAAAACUGAUUAACAAUGUUUAUUUCUAGGUGGUGAGACUACAGGGCUUUUUUCAUUUGUGUGUUACUGAUUCUUUGUAUUUUUUUACAACCCAGAAAAAUUUCUUUUCAACUAGAAAAAUAAAACCAACAGGGACUCCUCUCCUGAACUGCUGUUCAAGUAUUUCUAUCAAGAGACACACUUCUAGACAACAUCUACAAACCAACUUAGGAACUGAAGUCUCAGCAAAAUGUACAUGUAAGCAGAAAAGUUUUUAAAAGUCAGCCUGGAGAAGAAAAAGAAUAAAAUUAUUUCAGCAACUAUCCUCAAAACCUAAGCAACUGUUUUAAAGUAAAGAACAGAAGCACAAGUCAUUAAUUUUUCAAUCUUGAUGCCCAAGAUCUGCCAAAAAAUUGAAGGAAAAAAAACCGUAGGAAAAUUAUUAAAGAAUUAGAGUCAACUGAUUAACAAAAUCAAGAUAAGCUAGAUAACAGACUGAAUUUUAAAACUACAGAAGAAAU
rnacentral:lncRNA from 1 species